AUGAACGCUAGCUACAGGCUUAACACAUGCAAGUCGAGGGGCAGCAUUUUAGUUUGCUUGCAAACUAAAGAUGGCGACCGGCGCACGGGUGAGUAACACGUAUCCAACCUGCCGAUAACUCGGGGAUAGCCUUUCGAAAGAAAGAUUAAUAUCCGAUAGUAUAUUAAAACCGCAUGGUUUUACUAUUAAAGAAUUUCGGUUAUCGAUGGGGAUGCGUUCCAUUAGUUUGUUGGCGGGGUAACGGCCCACCAAGACUACGAUGGAUAGGGGUUCUGAGAGGAAGGUCCCCCACAUUGGAACUGAGACACGGUCCAAACUCCUACGGGAGGCAGCAGUGAGGAAUAUUGGUCAAUGGACGAGAGUCUGAACCAGCCAAGUAGCGUGAAGGAUGACUGCCCUAUGGGUUGUAAACUUCUUUUAUAUGGGAAUAAAGUAUUCCACGUGUGGGAUUUUGUAUGUACCAUAUGAAUAAGGAUCGGCUAACUCCGUGCCAGCAGCCGCGGUAAUACGGAGGAUCCGAGCGUUAUCCGGAUUUAUUGGGUUUAAAGGGAGCGUAGGUGGAUUGUUAAGUCAGUUGUGAAAGUUUGCGGCUCAACCGUAAAAUUGCAGUUGAAACUGGCAGUCUUGAGUACAGUAGAGGUGGGCGGAAUUCGUGGUGUAGCGGUGAAAUGCUUAGAUAUCACGAAGAACUCCGAUUGCGAAGGCAGCUCACUAGACUGCAACUGACACUGAUGCUCGAAAGUGUGGGUAUCAAACAGGAUUAGAUACCCUGGUAGUCCACACAGUAAACGAUGAAUACUCGCUGUUUGCGAUAUACAGUAAGCGGCCAAGCGAAAGCAUUAAGUAUUCCACCUGGGGAGUACGCCGGCAACGGUGAAACUCAAAGGAAUUGACGGGGGCCCGCACAAGCGGAGGAACAUGUGGUUUAAUUCGAUGAUACGCGAGGAACCUUACCCGGGCUUAAAUUGCAUUUGAAUAAUCUGGAAACAGGUUAGCCGCAAGGCAAAUGUGAAGGUGCUGCAUGGUUGUCGUCAGCUCGUGCCGUGAGGUGUCGGCUUAAGUGCCAUAACGAGCGCAACCCUUAUCUUUAGUUACUAACAGGUCAUGCUGAGGACUCUAGAGAGACUGCCGUCGUAAGAUGUGAGGAAGGUGGGGAUGACGUCAAAUCAGCACGGCCCUUACGUCCGGGGCUACACACGUGUUACAAUGGGGGGUACAGAAGGCAGCUACCUGGUGACAGGAUGCUAAUCCCAAAAACCUCUCUCAGUUCGGAUCGAAGUCUGCAACCCGACUUCGUGAAGCUGGAUUCGCUAGUAAUCGCGCAUCAGCCAUGGCGCGGUGAAUACGUUCCCGGGCCUUGUACACACCGCCCGUCAAGCCAUGAAAGCCGGGGGUACCUGAAGUACGUAACCGCAAGGAGCGUCCUAGGGUAAAACUGGUAAUUGGGGCU
rnacentral:rRNA from 1 species